GAGAGAGAGAGAGAGAGGUAUAUCCCAUGAGAGAGAGCGAGAGGUAUAUCCCAUGAGAGAGAGAGAGAGAGGUAUAUCCCAUGAGAGAGAGAGAGAGGUAUAUUCCAUGACAGAGAGAGGUAUAUCCCAUGAGAGAGAGAGGUAUAUCCCAUGAGAGAGAGAGGUAUAUCCCAUGAGAGAGAGAGAGAGGUAUAUCCCAUGAGAGAGAGGUAUAUCCCAUGAGAGAGAGAGAGAGUUAUAUCCCAUGAGAGAGAGAGAGAGAGGUAUAUCCCAUGAGAGAGAGAGAGGUAUAUCCCAUGAGAGAGAGAGGUAUAUCCCAUGAGAGAGAGAGAGAGAGAGGUAUAUCCCAUGAGAGAGAGAGGUAUAUCCCAUGAGAGAGAGAGAGAGGUAUAUCCCAUGAGAGAGAGAGAGGUAUAUCCCAUGAGAGAGAGAGGGGUAUAUCCCAUGAGAGAGAGAG